UUAACUGAUCACUGGCAAGGAAGAGCAAAUGAGAACUAAACAAGUAUUUGCUCUAGAUAAAGAAGAAAAUGCAUCUUCAUGCAGUGAGCCCUGCGAUGUGCUGGAGUACAGAAACUCCNUUCCCUGGCGGGGCUCUUUGGGGACCCAAGUCCUUGCGGUUGAGGCUGGGGCCUGCAGACAGUGUGAGGCCAGUAGUGGUCCCCUGGCACACUGGGUCUUGAGCUUCUUGGAGUCGGNUUGCUUGGGAAUGCAGCCCAAAGUGUGGGGUGAACUCCACCUAAGGAUAAAUGCCAGUAUGUGACUGAUAGCCAACAAGUCCCAUAAGAGAAAAGUGAAAAGAACUUUGAAGAAUGGUAAACGCUCCAUCCCUGGCAGUGUUCAAGGCCAGGCAGGAGAGAACCUUGGGAGGUAUGGUCUAGUGUGAGGUGUCCCUGCCACGGCAGGGGGAUUGGAACUGGAUGAUUUUAAGGUCCUUUCCAAUACAAUCUAUUUUAUGAUUCUAUGAUUUUAUUAUUACCUAAAAAUAAAUAAAAUAUCCUNUUAGCAUAAUCUACUUUAAAAACUAAAUCUCAUUUUUAGGUUAUUAGAGCUGCUACAGCCUGUAGCAUGCAUGCACAGAGCUCCCAUAAAUUUUGAGAAAAGG
rnacentral:ncRNA from 1 species